CUGGCAGAGCUCGCGGCGGGCGGGCGGCGCGAGGGACAGGAGGCGUCAAGCCAUACACUCCCAGAAAUCCCGCGCCCUUAGAACGCACCGAAUGGGUGUUACCCAGGUGUCCAGUCAUCUGUCACCAGUUUGCAUACAGACGGUGACACUUCUGCUCAGUGGCAAGUUACUGUCACUGGGUGGCCAGCAGCCGAGGUCCGCUGGGUACAGCCUGGGUCCCCCCCCCCCUGCACAGGUAGCCCAUGGGAAGGCCAUUAGGACUGCCGCUGACAGACUGACAGCCGUGCACAGUCUGCUGGGGGCACAAUGUUCCAACCCCCCCAUAUCACUCAUGAAAACGCCUCUUCCCAAGCAGGAAGAGAGAACGAUGAUGAAAACAGGGAACAGGACGUAGAAAUGUACAGCGUUCAUCAUGGAAGAUGAGAGCAUGUAGGAAUCUGAAACGCCACAGCAUGAAAUGAGACCAUGGCAUCGGUAACGCUGAAGGUGUCAUGAUCAACACUUAAGCGAUCGGAAGCCAGGGCGAGACUGGUGUUCGAAUGAGAUGAAUAUCAGCAAACAUCCUUCCCUGCUGCCACUUAUGAAUCACUUCCAUUGAGGAUGAAAGGCCACGGACUGAAAUUCUCCUGGCUACCUGAAGUGCUUCAUGUCGAUCUCUGGCAAGCAGCCAGGGCCGUCAACUGCGGGAGCACGGCGGCGGACGAGGAAAACGCCGGGGAUUUAUCGAGGAGCACUGACACUGUGAAUCUCAUACGACUGUCCCGCUAAUUAAGACCCAAACUUCUUUUAUGUGAUCUUUGGUAGUACAUCAAAAUAAUAUCAAUUUGAGUCAAUUAGGCACAGAACACAAUGACUCAACGCAUUGUUCCAGAAAGAUUUAAACGAAAGAGGGGAGAAAAAAAAAAAAUCAAAUGAGCGUUUUCACAGCUUUCAUAUU